rnacentral:rRNA from 1 species
AUCAAAAACAUGUCUGUGUGUAUAAAAUAUUUAGUCUGGCCUGCCCACUGAGUUUUAAAGGGCUGCGGUAAUUUGACCGUGCAAAGGUAGCAUAAUCAAUAGUCUUUUAAUUGAAGGCUUGAAUGAAAGGUUUGACGGAAAGAGGACUGUCUUUUUGGUUUAUAUUGAAUUUAACUUUUGUGUGAAAAGGCAUUAAUAGUUUAGUGGGACGAUAAGACCCUAUAAAACUUGAUAUAUGUUGUGUUGCUUCUUAAAAUUGAAUUAAUGAUUAUAAAGUGGUAGGGUAUAUUUUGCUGGGGCGGCAUGAAUAUAAUUUGUAACUGUUUGAGAGGUGAAAUACAGAUUUGUAGAUGUUGGUCUUUCAUUGGGAAGGUAAGAGUAAGUUACUUUAGGGAUAACAGCAUAAUUUUUCUUGAGAGUCCAUA